UACAGAGGGUGCGAGCGUUAAUCGGAAUUACUGGGCGUAAAGCGUGCGUAGACGGUUAUUUAAGUCGGGUGUGAAAGCCCCGGGCUCAACCUGGGAAUUGCAUUCGAGACUGAAUAGCUAGGGUACGGUAGAGGGAAGCGGAAUUUCCGGUGUAGCGGUAAAAUGCGUAGAUAUCGGAAGGAACAUCAGUGGCGAAAGCGGCUUCCUGGACCAGUACCGACGUUCAGGCACGAAAGCGUGGGGAGCAAACAGG
rnacentral:rRNA from 1 species